GCACUCUUGGUUUAGUGGUAAAAUCAGCGCUUCCCACUUCAAGGUGUAAUGCGCUGGCCCCGAGUUCGAUUCCCGGAGGGUGCA
rnacentral:tRNA from 2 species